AUCCUGGCUCAGGAUGAACGCUAGCUACAGGCUUAACACAUGCAAGUCGAGGGGAAACGACAUCGAAAGCUUGCUUUUGAUGGGCGUCGACCGGCGCACGGGUGAGUAACGCGUAUCCAACCUGCCCACCACUUGGGGAUAACCUUGCGAAAGUAAGACUAAUACCCAAUGAUAUCUCUAGAAGACAUCUGAAAGAGAUUAAAGAUUUAUCGGUGAUGGAUGGGGAUGCGUCUGAUUAGCUUGUUGGCGGGGUAACGGCCCACCAAGGCGACGAUCAGUAGGGGUUCUGAGAGGAAGGUCCCCCACAUUGGAACUGAGACACGGUCCAAACUCCUACGGGAGGCAGCAGUGAGGAAUAUUGGUCAAUGGACGAGAGUCUGAACCAGCCAAGUAGCGUGCAGGAUGACGGCCCUAUGGGUUGUAAACUGCUUUUAUAAGGGAAUAAAGUGAGCCUCGUGAGGCUUUUUGCAUGUACCUUAUGAAUAAGGACCGGCUAAUUCCGUG
rnacentral:rRNA from 1 species